GCGGGUGUAGCUCAGUGGUAGAGCCUCGGCCUUCCAAGCCGAUUGCGAGGGUCCGAUUCCCUUCACCCGCUCCA
rnacentral:tRNA from 1 species